rnacentral:tRNA from 1 species
GCCGGGCUGGCGAAAUCGGCAAACGCAGGUGGCUUAAAACCGCCCGCUGGGCAAUCCAGCUUGAGGGUUCGAUCCCCUCGCCCGGCA